GACGAACGCUGGCGGCGUGCUUAACACAUGCAAGUCGAACGGAAAGGCCUGCUUUCCCUUGUGGAUUGCGGGUACUCGAGUGGCGAACGGGUGAGUAACACGUGAGUGAUCUGCCCCCAACUUGGGUAUAAGCCUGGGAAACUGGGUCUAAUUCCCGAUAGGACUGCAGGGUGGUGCCUGUGGUGGAAAACGAUUUUCUAGUGGUUGGGGAUGAGCUCGCGGCCUAUCAGCUUGUUGGUGGGGUAAUGGCCUACCAAGGCGGCGACGGGUAGCCGGCCUGAGAGGGUGGGCGGCCACAUUGGGACUGAGAUACGGCCCAGACUCCUACGGGAGGCAGCAGUGGGGAAUAUUGCACAAUGAGCGGAAGCCUGAUGCAGCGACGCCGCGUGGGGGAUGACGGCCUUCGGGUUGUAAACUCCUUUCGACCGCGAGGAAGCCACCUGGUUGGAAGGGUGGUGACGGUAGUGGUAGAAGAAGCACCGGCUAACUACGUG
rnacentral:rRNA from 1 species